rnacentral:rRNA from 1 species
AACGAACGCUGGCGGCAUGCCUAACACAUGCAAGUCGAACGAGACCUCCGGGUCUGCUUGCUCACGGGGGCGUAACGCGUGGGAACCUGCCCUUAUGCUCGGAAUAACUCCUUGUAAGGGGUGCUAAUACCGGAUAAUGUCUUCGAAUCAAAGAUUUAUCGACCUUGGAUGAGCCCGCGUUGGCUUAGCUUGGUGGGAGGGUAAAAGCCUACCAAGGCGUCGAUCCAUAGCUGGUCUCAGAGGAUGAUCAGCCACACUGGGACUGAGACGCGGCCCAGACUACUACGGGAGGCAGGAGUGGGGAAUACUGGACAAUGGGCGAAGGCCUGAUCCAGCAAUGCCUCGUGAGUGAUGAUGGCCUUAGAGAUGAAAAGCUCUUUUACCCGCGAUUGUAAUGACAGUACCCGGAGAAUAAGCACCGGCUAACUCCGUG